UCUGAUCUAGGAUGAGUAUUUUAUUGGUGACUGCUGGAUGAAACCUGCGGAUAUGGGACUGAGAUCAGUG
ensembl:snoRNA small nucleolar RNA SNORD99